CACUAGUUAUCGCUGCUUGCAGCAAGUUAUCCGGCUGUUCUUCAGCUAGUUAUCGGUGUUCUUUCUACGUCGUGAAGAUCGGGACAACGUGUCGCAUCAUCUGUUAUCAAAGCUUUCGUUACCACGGUAGGAAUCCUAUCCCUAGCUACAUAUAUAUUUUUGCUUCGUCCUAUCCACCAAAAAGCCAGAAAAAUAUAUUGCUUAGACCUUUGUUUCAAUCUGUUAUUUUAGUGAGUUCGGUUAAGUCGCAGUCCAUUAGAGUCUUUGUUUUAAUUGCAGAUCAUUUAUCCUUCGCUUGUUCUUUGUGCCUCUUUUAUAUCUAAAAAUCCCCACAAAAAAAUCUCUAUAGCCUAUAUCAUCCUUUGUGUUAACUUUGAUCCUAUCUAGCUACUGGUUGUUGUUUUAUUUCUAUCUUUAGUUGUGCAAGUAUCAUAAUCUGAUCCCUGUUUUUAGUUCUAUAUAAAAAAAAGUGUGUCAAAAUAAAGAAAAGAAAGUGCAAAAAAAGUGAAGUGAAAAAAAAAGUUGAGAAAGGUUCAGAGAGAAAGUCUGAAAGAUUAUUUGGUUUAUGUGCACAAGUACUGAAAGAUUUAUAUCAAGUUCUGCAACCAGUUUGCUAUCUUUGUUUGGUGCCAUAUUUUGGUUGGGUCUGAUUGCAACACUUGCAUCCCAAUCAUACUCCUUGUUUGCAUCAAAUCUGAAUUUUCUUUGUGCGUGUGUGUGAUCAUUUACUUCUUUUCAUAUCUUGUGGCCAGCACUAGGUAGAGAACUUCUAGUUUGGAUCGUUACUUAACUUUACAACAACUAGAAUUCAGAUUGCAUUCCUUGUGUAUUACUCCCCACCAAGCUCCACAUAAAAACCAUCAUAAUCGGUACUCUCUGUUCUUGUAUUCGCCUCGCCAUCACUUUCAGUCGCCACCACACAUUUGUUUUCCUUGUAUUCUGCAGC
rnacentral:lncRNA from 1 species